rnacentral:rRNA from 1 species
UUUUAUGGAGAGUUUGAUCCUGGCUCAGGGUGAACGCUGGCGGCGUGCUUAAGACAUGCAAGUCGAACGGUGACCUUCGGGUCACAGUGGCGCACGGGUGAGUAACGCGUAACUGACCUGCCCC